rnacentral:rRNA from 1 species
UACGUAGGGUGCAAGCGUUAAUCGGAAUUACUGGGCGUAAAGCGUGCGCAGGCGGUUGUGCAAGACAGAUGUGAAAUCCCCGGGCUUAACCUGGGAACUGCAUUUGUGACUGCACGGCUAGAGUGUGUCAGAGGGGGGUAGAAUUCCACGUGUAGCAGUGAAAUGCGUAGAUAUGUGGAGGAACACCGAUGGCGAAGGCAAUCCCCUGGGCCUGCACUGACGCUCAUGCACGAAAGCGUGGGGAGCAAACAGG